rnacentral:tRNA from 1 species
UGGGGAGUCGUCCAACGGCAGGACUCAUGACUCUGGAUCAUGCUAUCGGGGUUCGAAUCCCUGCUCCCCAGCCA